rnacentral:rRNA from 1 species
CCUACGGUAGGCUGCAGUGAGGAAUAUUGGUCAAUGGACGAGAGUCUGAACCAGCCAAGUAGCGUGAAGGAUGACUGCCCUAUGGGUUGUAAACUUCUUUUAUAUGGGAAUAAAAUGUUCCACGUGUGGGAUUUUGUAGGUACCAUAUGAAUAAGGAUCGGCUAACACCGUGCCAGCAGCGGCGGUAAUAAGGAGGAUCCGAGCGUUAUCCGGAUUUAUUGGGUUUAAAGGGAGCGUAGGUGGAUUGUUAAGUCAGUUGUGAAAGUUUGCGGCUCAACCGUAAAAUUGCAGUUGAAACUGGCAGUCUUGAGUACAGUAGAGGUGGGCGGAAUUCGUGGUGUAGCGGUGAAAUGCUUAGAUAUCACGAAGAACUCCGAUUGCGAAGGCAGUUCACUGGACUGCAACUGACACGGAGGCUCGAAAGUGUGGGUAUCAAACAGGAUUAGAUACCCUAGUAGUC